rnacentral:rRNA from 1 species
CAUGCAAGUCGAACGGAAGUUUAAGCAAUUAAACUUUAGUGGCGAACGGGUGAGUAACGCGUAAGCAAUCUGCCCCUAAGACGAGGAUAACAGUUGGAAACGACUGCUAAGACUGGAUAGGAGACAAGAAGGCAUCUUCUUGUUUUUAAAAGACCUAGCAAUAGGUAUGCUUAGGGAGGAGCUUGCGUCACAUUAGUUAGUUGGUGGGGUAAAGGCCUACCAAGACUAUGAUGUGUAGCCGGGCUGAGAGGUUGAACGGCCACAUUGGGACUGAGACACGGCCCAAACUCCUACGGGAGGCAGCAGUAGGGAAUUUUCGGCAAUGGAGGAAACUCUGACCGAGCAACGCCGCGUGAACGAUGAAGUAUUUCGGUACGUAAAGUUCUUUUAUUAGGGAAGAAUAAAUGAUGGAAAAAUCAUUCUGACGGUACCUAAUGAAUAAGCCCCGGCUAACUAUGUGCCAGCAGCCGCGGUAAUACAUAGGGGGCAAGCGUUAUCCGGAAUUAUUGGGCGUAAAGGGUGCGUAGGCGGUUAAAUAAGUUUAUGGUCUAAGUGCAAUGCUCAACAUUGUGAUGCUAUAAAAACUGUUUAGCUAGAGUAAGAUAGAGGCAAGUGGAAUUCCAUGUGUAGUGGUAAAAUGCGUAAAUAUAUGGAGGAACACCAGUAGCGAAGGCGGCUUGCUGGGUCUUUACUGACGCUGAGGCACGAAAGCGUGGGGAGCAAACAGGAUUAGAUACCCUGGUAGUCCACGCCGUAAACGAUGAGUACUAAACGUUGGGUAAAACCAGUGUUGAAGUUAACACAUUAAGUACACCGCCUGAGUAGUACGUACGCAAGUAUGAAACUUAAAGGAAUUGACGGGACUCCGCACAAGCGGUGGAUCAUGUUGUUUAAUUCGAAGGUACCCGAAAAACCUCACCAGGUCUUGACAUGCUUCUGCAAAGCUGUAGAAACACAGUGGAGGUUAUCAGUUGCACAGGUGGUGCAUGGUUGUCGUCAGCUCGUGUCGUGAGAUGUUGGGUUAAGUCCCGCAACGAGCGCAACCCUUAUUGUUAGUUACCAGCACGUAAUGGUGGGGACUUUAGCAAGACUGCCAGUGAUAAAUUGGAGGAAGGUGGGGACGACGUCAAAUCAUCAUGCCCCUUAUGACCUGGGCUACAAACGUGAUACAAUGGCUGUUACAAAGGGUAGCUGAAGCGCAAGUUUUUGGCGAAUCUCAAAAAACAGUCUCAGUUCGGAUUGAAGUCUGCAACUCGACUUCAUGAAGUUGGAAUCGCUAGUAAUCGCGAAUCAGCAUGUCGCGGUGAAUACGUUCUCGGGGUUUGUACACACCGCCCGUCAAACCACGAAAGUUGGCAAUACCCAAAGCCGGUGGCCUAACUUCGCAAGAAGAGGGAACCGUCUAAGGUAGGGUCGAUGAUUGGGGUUAAG